rnacentral:rRNA from 1 species
GACGAACGCUGGCGGCGCGCUUAACACAUGCAAGUCGAGCGAAGCGGCGGACGGGUGAGUAACACGUGAGUAACCUGCCUUAGACAUUGGGAUAGCCUCGGGAAACCGGGAUUAAUACCAAAUGGUCUAAGAUGGACUCGCGUCCCAUUAGCUAGUUGGUGGGUAACGGCCCACCAAGGCGACGAUGGGUAGCCGGCCUGAGAGGCUGAACGGCCACAUUGGAACUGAGAAACGGUCCAAACUCUACGGAAGGCAGCAGUGGGGGAUAUUGCACAAUGGGGGGAAGUCUGAUGCAGCGACGCCGCGUGACCAAAGACUGCUUUCGGGUCGUAAAGUUCUUUUAUAUGGGAAGCGGUACCAUAAGAAAAAACCCCGGCUAACUACGUGCCAGCCGCCGCGGUAAUAC